AAGCUCCAAGGGUUGUUCUUCGAUAUCAUGAAAAUCGCAUUUCCAGAUACUGAUUUCCGAGAAGCAAGAAAUGCCGUCACAUUCUCCAGCCACGGAGCCUCUUCGACCGGUCCAUCCUCCAAGUCUUCGCGCCAGCUACCCUCCAGACAGGCCGAGCCAGAGCCUGCACGGACAACUCUGAAGCCCCAGAAGGAAAUUACUCCCGCCAGCCGGAGCACCCGUGACCAUUUCCCGCCAGAGCGCUCACCCCAGCUCGGAGACCUUGUCAUCUGCAA
rnacentral:misc_RNA from 1 species